GUGUGAGCAUGUAUGUGUAUAUGUGAGCAGGUCUGUGCAUGUAUGUGAGUGGAUAUGUGUUUUAACAUGUGUAAGCAUGUGUGUGUUCCCAUGUGUGAGCAGGUGUGUGUGGGGGGUGAGGACGUGCUUAAGCACCUGCGUGUGUGAGCAGGUGUGCAUGUGUGUGAACAGGUAUGUGUAUGUGUGAAAGCAGGUGUGUGAAUGAGUGUGUGAGCAUGAAUGGGUGUGAGUGGGCCGGGCGUGGUGGCUCACGCCUGUAUCCCAGCACUUUGGGAGGCUGAGGCAGGCGGAUCACCUGAGGUCAGGUGUUCGAGACCAGCCUGGCCAACAUGGCGAAACCCCGUCUCCACUAAAAAUACAAAAAUUAGUCAGGCGUGGUGGUGAACGCCUGUAAUCCCAGCUACUUGGAAGGCUGAGACAGGAGAAUUGCUUGAACCCGGGAGGUGGAGGUUGCAGUGAGCCGAGAUCGUGCCAUUGCACUCCAGCCUGGGCAACAAGAGCAACUCCAUCUCAAAAACAAGAGAAUGGGUGUGAUGUGUGAGUGUGAGAGCAGGUGUGUGUGAGCAUGCAUGAGUGUGAGCUGCUGUGAGUGGAUGUGAGAGCAGAAUGUGUGUGAGCAUUUGAGUGUGCAAGUAGGUGUCUGAGUGGUUGUGUGUGAACAGGCGUGUAAGCAUGCAAGUGGAUAUGCAUGAGCAGAAUGUAUGUGCAUGCGUGAGCAGGUGUGAGGUGCAAGUGUAAGUGGUGUGAAAUAUGAGUGAGCAGGUGUCAAUGAGGUGUGAAAGAGCUGGUGUGAGCGUGUGAGUGAUAAGUGAGCAGCUGUGAGGUGUGAGCAUGUAUGUGAGCAGGUAUGUGUGAUGUGUGAGCAUAUGUGUGAGCAUGUGUGUGUGCAGAUAUGUGUGGGCAGGUGUGUGUGAGUGGGUGUGAGAUGUGAGCAUGUGUGUGAGGUAUGAGGUGUGAGCAUGUGUGAGGUGUGAGCAUGUGAGUGGGUGUGAAUGUGUGAGGUGUUAGCAUGUGUGAAGUGUUAGCAUGUGUGUGAGCAUGAGUUUGUAAGCAUAAGUGUGUGUGAGACUUGGUGUGAGGUGUGUGAGGAAGUGUGUGUAUGGAUAGGUGAGCAUGUGUGUGAGCAGACGUGAGCAUGUGUGAGUGGGUGUGUGCGUGAGUGAAUGGUGUGAGGUGUGUGAGCACAAGUGUGUGAGCAGGGGCGUGUGUGUGUAGCUGAGUAAUGUGAGAUGUGUGUGAGCAGGUGUGUGCGUGUGGGGCUGAGUAACGUGAGAUGUGUGUAAGCAGGUGUGUGCGUGCAAGUGUGUGUGAGGUGUGGGUAGGUGCGAUCAUAUGUGAGUGGAUAUGUGUGAGUGAAUGGUGUGGUGUAAGCAUGUGUGUGUGAGCAGGGGCAUGUGUGUGCAAGGGUGAGCAAUGUAAGGUGUGAGGGUGAGCAGUGUAAGAUGUGUAAGCAGGUGUGUUUGUGCAAGCAUGUGUAAGCAAGUAUAAGCAGGUGUGAUUAUGAGACCUGGUGUGAGGUGUAUGAGCAGGUGUGUGAACAUGAGUGUGUGAACCUGGUGUGAGGUGUGUGUGAGCAGGUGUGAGUGGGCAUAUGAGUGUGAGAAGGUGCAUUGGGUGUGACCGUGUGUGGGGGCAGUAAGUGGGUCUGAGUGUGUGUGCAUGUGUGUGAGUGGGUGCAUUGGGUGGGUGUGAGUGUGCAUGUGAGUGGGUGUGAAUGAGGUGUGAGCAUGAGUGGGUGUGACCAGGUGUGUGUGAGUGGGUUGUGAAUGUGUAAGCAGAUGCAGUGUGGGUUUGAACAUGUGGGUGGGUGCAAGCAUGUGAGUGGGUGUGUCGUGUGGGUGCCAGUGUGUGGGGGCAUGUUAGUGAAUGAGUGUGUGAGCAUGUGUGUGAGUGUGAGCUGGUGCAUUGUGUGGGUGUGUGAGAAAGUGACAGUGUGUGAGGGCAGAUGUGGGUGUGAAUGUGCAAGUGGGUGGGUGUGGGUGCAAUCUGGCGUUUGGGUGCAUUGCACAAGCAUGUGUGUGAGCAUGUGGGUGUGAGUCUGUGAGCACGUGCAUUGUGUGUGCAUGUGUGUGACAGCAUGUGUGUGAUCAGAUACAUUGUACGUGUGAGCGUGUGUGGGUGUGAGCAUGAGUGAGUGGUUGCAUUGUGUUUAAGCAUGAGUGUGAGUGGGUGUGAGAAGGUGCGUUGUGUGAGCACGUGUGUGAGUGGGUGUGGGCGUGAUGUGUGAGCAUGUGUAAGGAGGUGUGGGUGCGUUAUGUGGAUGUGAGCAUGUGUGUGUACUUGGUGCACUGUGUGGGUGCGAGUGUGUGCGCGUGGGGGGGGUGAGUGCGUGGGUGUGAGUGGGUGUGUGUGAACGCCUGUGUGUGCGCAAGCAUGUGUGUGUGUGUG
rnacentral:lncRNA from 10 species